GUGAAUCAUCAAAUCUUUGAACGCAAAUUGCACUCUCUUCGGAGAGUAUGCCUGUGUGAGGUUCAGUAUUAAUAACAAUCGGCGUGUGGCUCUUUUGUGACGUUCCGGAGUUUGGGUCAUCUUAUAACAACACCCUUUCAGGGUAUUUUUAAGGGGCUUAAAGUUUACCUUUUUUGUGCGUUUUAGACGUUCAUAAAUUUUUUUUAUUCUUCUAUCUUAAUGCCAAAUCUCUAUUAGAUGCGUCCAUAUCGUGUGGUUCCGUGGCUAUAAGUUUGUCAUG
rnacentral:misc_RNA from 1 species